AAGUCGUAACAAGGUUUCCGUAGGUGAACCUGCGGAAGGAUCAUUAACAAAAAGAUUCUUUUCUUUACAACCGUGUUCUGUAAUAAUACUGUUAUCUGGCAUGACCAGUUGCGGUGUGUAAUGGCUCAGUAAUUUGAUUCCUACACAUCCCAAGUGCUUGCCAGAGUUUUUUACAAUACACUUUUUAUAUUCUUUACUGAUGUGAUCUCAUACUCGUCAAAGUAUGAUUGUAUAACUUAAAAAAAACUGUUAACAACGGAUCACUCGGUUCUCA
rnacentral:misc_RNA from 1 species